AAGCACUGAGCAGUGGAUGUCUUAAUGCCAUCAGAGAUCAGUCUUUGCAACCUUUAUGUAAGUAGCUUAAUUUAGCCUUCCUAUGACCCUAAAGUAGCCUCAUUGUGCUCCUCAAAAAUUCAUGAUAGGUGUCCAAAAGAUAAUAUUAAGCACAUGAACACUGGAGGCAGGAUAUCAAGUUGUUGAGAAAGGAACACAGAUGCUGCCAGGGAAUGGAGUUGAAGCAUAUACAUCAUCCACCAGCAUCCUCUGAUCACAUCUACUGCCCCCCAGACCAGCGGAAGCUCCCAGGCCAGAGGAAGUGCCGAGCUCCUUUGUGAACAAGGCCCUCCCGGAUUAAGCGUAACGCACCCUAAAUGCAGGCCCUUUCUCCUGGGGAUUAUCUAAGGGACAGAGGGGCACCCACUCCCACUGGGACCCUGUCACCCAAAUUCAACACACCAUCACCAGACCGCUCCCUAGCCCCCUUGCUACGAUACAGGACAUGAGGGAAGGCAUUGUGCCCCUAGAGACAAUGCUAAAGUGAUUAGCCUGAGUUAUUAAGGGAGCAUAGAAAAUGCAUUUUGACAUGGGGCUUCAAGAUGAUCGCAACUCGUUGGACAUGGUGAAAAUAGUAACAAGCAUCAGGUUGUUGUGUACACAUGUUUAGUCAUUCUGAAGUGUACAGAUGCAGGCGUGUAGUCAAGAGUAAACUAUUUCAGCUCAGUUGAUUUAUUUGCUAAAUAGUUUAAAUCCAUUGCUUUCAUUUUCACUUCACUGUAUGUCCUACAUGUGCACGCCAUGUACGGUUCUUGAAUGUGUGAAGCUACUGUCAAAGUG